rnacentral:lncRNA from 1 species
GAAGGAACAGGAAUUGCACUAAGAACCAAAGAUCUGGAUUGCUCUCGGGUCUCUGUUGCCCCUUGUUUAAUCUUUACUUUGUCUAUUUAUGGUGUCUGCUUUCCCUCCCUGUCGAGGCCCUGCAGUCUAGGCCCCUGGAUCUUAGAACCGAAUGACAAUGAAGUCCACUGUUUGCAAAGUGGUUCGUUUUCUCAGAAACAUGCCGACUUGCUCACUGUACAGGAGGCGUGCAACGGGUACAUCCCGCAAACCAACGCCUUCAAAUUAAGUGACCCUCUCUCUCCUGUUAGGGAAUUGUGGUGACUAGGUCCUACCAGGGAGGCCUGGAAGAAAGGUAGAAACCCAGGGAGGAUUUGCUGCUGCACAGAGAGGGGAAAGAGGAUAACUGAAAGAGACU